AAAUAGUAAACACCUAUACACUUCACUAAGAGAGAACCCUAUCUUCUUUUCCUCUUUCGCACUUCAACACCGUACUUGUAGCUCUUCUCCUCCAUGAAAUUAGGUCUUUCUUCUUUAAUACCUGAUAUUCGAACCUAAAGCUCUACUCCUCCUAAUGUAAUUUCAAUAAUAGUCUCACCUAAAAUUGGUUCAGAAGUUGUCGCCUACUAAAUCCCCACUCACAAGCACAUCGACAUAUACCUCUUGGCUUCUUCUUUGGGUGGGGAUGAUUUUAGAAAGAAAGUCAUGGCAGCCAAUUCUUACUUUGGAAAGACUAUUGGUGACGGGUGUGAGUACAAGGACAAGAAGAAGAAAGAUAUGUUGUUUGACAAUGAAUUUAAUGUUUUAUUUUAUUUGUAAUUUUUAUUAGUGUAAAAAAUUCUUUUGAGUGGUUAAUUAUUUACUUUGUAAAUCUAGUUAUAUAUUUUUUAAGGUCAAGACGAUUAUGUUUAUAGACAAGACUAUGAUUUUUAAGUCAAGUAGUGGUGUUAUAUUUAUUCUAAAAUUAGUUUUAUUAGAUUUGUAAAUACUUUGUAUAA